CAAUAGCGUAUAUUUAAGUUGUUGCAGUUAAAAAGCUCGUAGUUGGAUUUCGGAUGGGAUUUGCCGGUCCGUCGUUACGAUGUGCACUGGCCAGUCCUAUCUUGUUGUCGGGGACUAGCUCCUUGGAUUCACUUCCUGGGACUAGGAGCUGACGAGGUUACUUUGAGUAAAUUAGAGUGUUCAAAGCAAGCCUACGCUCUGAAUACAUUAGCAUGGAAUAACACGAUAGGACUCUGGCUUAUCUUGUUGGUCUGUGAGACCAGAGUAAUGAUUAAGAGGGACAGUCGGGGGCAUUCGUAUUUCAUUGUCAGAGGUGAAAUUCUUGGAUUUAUGAAAGACGAACUUCUGCGAAAGCAUUUGUCAAGGAUGUUUUCAUUAA
rnacentral:rRNA from 1 species